AGGUGGCGCCCUUGCACCCAUGAAUAAGCAGAAAUGAUGUUUUGCUGAGUGUCACACAGAAAGCUUCACUGACCUGAUUUUCCUUCUCCAAGCUUCAUCUAUCUGACACUAUGGUGGUCUGAGUGUGAUGUACCUGCCGUGAGGUGCUGCUAACGACACUGCGGAAGGAUUCAUGUAAGUGUUCCUCAUUGCGUUUCAUAUUUCCUCUGCCUGUCCGGACUGGCUCUCAGGAGAGGGGGCGGAUAUUCUACAGCAUCCCGCAGCCUCCGCCCGCCUCUGUGGCACUGUGCAGAGCUGACGGGGGACAGUGGGACCGCAGACCGACGGGAGGACGGAGACGCGUACAGAGAGAGACAGGAAAGGGGCGAUGGCCGCUGGUGCAGGAUGCGGGGAAUCGGUGGAUCAGUACCGGGCCGAAGUGGAGCGGCUCACAGCGGAACUGGCCGAGGCGAACCGGGAGAAGAUCAGGGCUGCAGAGUGCGGACUGGCCGUCCUGGAAGAGAACCAAGCUCUGAAGCUCAAAUAUGCAGACCUGGAGACCGAUCAGGAGACUCUCAGGAAGGAGUUGGAACAGUUACAGGAGGCAUUCGGACAGGCGUACACCAACCAGCGUAAGGUGGCAGAGGAUGGGGAGACCAAUGAGGAGACGUUGCUGCAGGAGUCGGCCUGUAAGGAGGCCUACUACAUGGGCCGGCUGCUGGAGCUGCAGACCGAGAUGACGCUGAGCCGUUCUGUGGCGUCAAAUGCGCAGAGUGAGAACGAGAGGCUCAAUGCGCUCGUGCAGGAGCUGCGUGAGAGUAACGAGAUGCUGGAGCUGCAGAGGAGCAGGAUGAGGGAGGAGAUAAAGGAGUACAAGUUCAGGGAGACCCGGCUGCUCCAGGAUUACACCGAGCUGGAGGAGGAGAACAUCACGCUGCAGAAACUGGUGUCAACACUCAAGCAGAGCCAGGUGGAGUAUGAGGGACUGAAACAUGAAAUCAAAGUUCUAGAGGAGGAGACUGUCCUCCUCAACAGUCAGCUGGAGGACGCGUUACGUCUGAAGGACAUUUCUCAGGGUCAGCUUGAAGAGGCUCUGGACGCCCUGAAGAGCGAGCGUGAGCAGAAGAACAAUCUGAGGAAGGAGCUGGCCCACCACAUCAGCCUGAGUGACAGCGUCUACGGGGCGGGGGCCCAUCUGGCGCUUACAGUUACUGGGGUCGAGGGCCUCAAGUUCCCUGAGGAGACAAAUGGAACCAACGGCACUGCCAUUUCUGCUGCUAACGGCAACAAUGAGGACAGCAACCGCCGCAACGGCCAUCUGCACGCCGGUACAGGAUUGGCUAAGAUGAAUGGGGAGUACAGACCAGGCAGGAAAGGAGACGGCCUGCACCCUGUGCCGGACCUGUUCAGUGAGCUCAACCUGUCGGAGAUGCAGAAGCUUAAACAGCAGCUGCUACAGGUGGAGCGUGAGAAAGCGUCACUGCACAUGAACCUGCAGGAGUCUCAGACACAGCUGCAGCACACACAGGGCGCCCUGACCGAGCAGAGCGAGCGGGUCCAUCGCCUCACCGAGCGCGUGAAUACCAUGAAAUGUCUCAACGGAGACAAAGAGCUCGAUGACCCACAGGAGAGUGAGAAGCCUGACGGGGGCUCAAUAUCACCACCAACCAAUGGACAUCAUGACCCCGAUAUCCACGGGUUUGAGAUUCUGGAGUGUAAGUACAAGGUGGCAGUGACAGAGGUGAUCGACCUUAAGGCAGAGCUCAAGGUCCUGAAAGAGAAGUACAACCAGGCUGUGGAGGGUCAGGGAGACGUCCACAGCGACGACAGGGUGCAGGCGCUGACUGAACAGGUAACUCAUUUGGAACGUAGUUAUCGUGACAGCAGGGAGAGGGUGGCGAGCCUGGAGGCAGAGCUCCGAGCAGCAACAAGCAUGUCCACAGAGAGUCAGGGCAUGCUGAACACAGCACAGGAUGAGCUGGUUACUUUCAGUGAGGAGCUGGCUCAGCUCUACCACCACGUCUGUCUGUGCAACAACGAGACACCUAAUCGCGUCAUGCUGGACUACUAUCGGCAGAGCCGCGUCACACGUAGCGGCAGCCUGAAAGGCUCUGAUGACCCCCGUGCCCUUCUCUCACCUCGCCUGGCACGUCGCCUUGCUGCAGCAGCUGCAGCCUGCUCCUCUGACUCCCCUCGCAGUCCCAUGGACUCCCCAUCCAAAGACGCCCAUCACAGUGAGACGACUCACACAGCAGACUCAUCAUCCUGUCAUAGCAGCCCCACACGCAUCCCUCCAGGCUCCCCAUCCAUCAACAUCUCCCCCUGCCCGUCUCCAGUGCCCUCAGAGGCAGGCGGAGACCUGCGGAAGGAGCCCAUGAACAUCUACAACCUGAACGCCAUCAUCAGAGACCAGAUCAAACACCUGCAGAGGGCCGUAGAUCGCUCGCUGCAGCUGUCCAGGCAGAGGGCUGCAGCCAGGGAGCUGGCUCCUAUGCUGGACAAGGACAAGGAGCUGUGCAUGGAGGAGAUCCUGAAACUGAAGUCUCUGCUCAGCACCAAGAGAGAGCAGAUAGCCACACUCAGGCUGGUGCUGAAGGCCAACAAACAGACAGCAGAGGGUGCUCUGGCAAACUUGAAGAGCAAAUAUGAGAAUGAAAAGGCAAUGGUGACAGAGACCAUGAUGAAGCUGAGGAACGAGCUGAAGGCUCUGAAAGAAGAUGCCGCCACCUUCUCGUCUCUCAGGGCCAUGUUUGCUACAAGAUGUGAUGAGUAUGUUACACAGCUGGAUGAGAUGCAGAGGCAGCUGGCAGCAGCAGAGGAUGAGAAAAAGACGCUGAACUCUCUCCUCCGGAUGGCCAUCCAGCAGAAGCUGGCCUUGACCCAGCGGCUGGAGGAUCUGGAGUUUGACCAUGAGCAGACCUACAGGGGCCGUGGGGCCAAAGUGCCCAGGAUAAAAAGCAGCCCGCCCAAAGUAAGUCAAAGAGGUGCUUUCACAGCUCCCUCCAGCCCCACCAGACUUAACAGCCCCUCCCUCAUCACCACCCAGACCCUGAACACCACCCUGACCCUUCACAGUCCUCCGUCCAUGUCUGUGUGGACUCCAGAAACAAUCCAGACCUCAACUCUGACUAGCAUCAGUUACCCUAGUUUGUCCCUGGGUACUACGCCCAUCAUGAUAGACCCCGAGAGUCUUACGGUAAAGUUCAGACCAGUGAUUUUUUCAAGACAAGAAGUAGGUCACCUUACCCCACCUCGCGGCACUAAUAGAUCUUCUUCAGUAUCUCCUCACCUGCGGCGAAAGCGGUGAUUCUGUGUCACCUCUAUACCCAGCAUAGAUGUCUGUUUUGUACACAGUUACCAGAAUCCUCAGGUUAAGGUGGGACACAGAGCGGAAAACAAACUGGUUUCUCAUGCCAACAAUACAAGAACACUCAGGAAGAUGGAGCCAAUGACAACAUGCUCCAUCCUGAAAACAUCCUGAAAAGUGCACUUUCUGGCUCUCAAUGCUCAUUAGCAUAAGUGAAAGUUGGACUGCACUGACUUUCUUAUUUAAAAUGAGCAUCUUUCUUGGCGUCUGAAUAGCUUUUACUGUAAAAUAUGACAUCAUGUGCAGCUCUCACAGAGUGAUGGGAAGUGUUUCAGAACAAAAAACAGGCAAAAAAGUGCUGCAGCAUCUGCUUCAGCAGAACCCCAGUGACCCCCUGUGGCAGACGCUCUGAACAACAUGUGAUUUUUAAACUUUCAUCAGUUGAAGUAUAUACAUACAUCCAUUCUGUAAAAGUGAUUAUAUUGUUGAUAAUAUUUUAGCGAUUAUACUUUGAUAAAUGUUUACUUAAGUUAUUUCAUGCAUGCCUAAUUUGUCAAAUCUAAAGUCCUGUCAGAAAGUAUUUAACGGGCUCAAAGUGUGUCACAUGAUUAAUGUGUGAUUUCAAAUACAAUAGAAACCAGUCAACCCUCCUCUCUGUGCCCUGACCUCCUCUUCGAUUGACCUCCUCUUACCUCAUAUAGCAUGAAAAUAAAAAGGGAAGGGAAAACUCACACAGUAUUCCAGUUUCCCCAGUAGAUGGCAGUAUCAGCAAACAUUUCCAUUAUCUCUUCUUUUCAAAUGAUGUUUGACAUCUCACUCCCUCUCUCUCACUUCUUCUACCUCAGAUAACUCUGAUUGUGUAAAAGAGAAACAGCUUAAACAAGUCAUGCAAACAAACAAGCAGAUCAUGCACUGAGUUAACGCAGCAGGUGUCGUGGAGUUGAGCAGGAUGGGAUUGUAUGGCAUCAGCCCCUCUGUGUCUGUCUUUCUCUUUGUGUGCUGCACAAAUCAAUAUAGUAUUGGAUUUGGAAGUGUAUGUGUGAUUUAAUUGUGUCCAUGUCUCUGUCUCCUAGUGUUUUCCACCUCCAGUGUUGAUUGCCUAGCUGUGCAGAGACUGGUCCUGUCAGAUGAGGCUGGUUUACAGUAUUAGUCACAUUCACACUGUGCAGGAAUGUAAUUGGCAUGUAGUAGAUUCAGACAUUUAGAUUUUACUCAAGUGUUAUUCCUGCCUUUUCUCCUCAUGAGCUCAUAUUUCUCCACUUGCUUACUCUUCUGUCCGGCUUCUCACAUUCAUUCACAUCCUAAAUCACUGAUUCCAACAGCAGGUGGAUCAGUUUUCUUAUCCCCGAGAUUUAAAGCAUCCUCUCUGGGUAACAACAGACUCUUGCUUUACGUUGCACCAUGCUAUGAAAAACAACCAUUCAACAACAAGGAUCAGAGCGCUGCUUCAGUAUAAAACUAAUAGCUAUCACAGCAGUGAACCAGCAGGACCCUCUCUGUCCCUGACAAGGCGCCCCCUGUUUGUCCUCCGUGUCUUCUGUCUCUCUGUCUAACCCAGAGUGUCACCACUCUGUAUAUCUGUCUAAUUUAUCAGUUUCUUGUAGAUUGUCAGCAGCCUGCUGCCUCAGUACCGUCACUCUCCCCACAACUAAGGCGAGGGAGAGCCUCCCGAGCCAGCAGUCCUAAAUUAUUGGCAGACCACACAGUCCUGUUGAGCAGAAGUAGUCUCCUCUCCCCCUGCGACCCUCUUAACUGUCUCGCCCAGCUGCCUCAGCCCCCCUAAACCUAACCCCUAGCCACCCCACUCCGGCCCGGGUCCUGGUCUCGGCCUGGUAGGAGUCCUGCAGAGAUAGAAACGCUCUUGAGGGGGGGGCUCCCUUGGAAUUUUCCCCACCCAGCCUACCUUGCAGUCUAAUCUGGUGCUUACUGGACUCUGUGACCCCACCCCCUCCACCAAACGCUUGUGGUCUGGCCCUCAGCAGGCCUCCUGGUUACCUGGGUCGCAGAAGAAGAGCAGGACUCUCUCUUCUUCUCUGGAAACAAAGGGACUGAGUUGUAAAAAGCCAGAGUGACAAAUCAGGGGAAUCUCUUCCCCUCGGUGUAUUAGUAUUUAUGAAUUAUUUAUUUACUCUAUUGAUUAUUUAUUUACACAUUGAUUUGUGAAUCUUUUUGAGCUAUUUAUUACAGGAAUGUUUUCUCUUCGUUGUACGUCAUUUCACAAGAUGAAAAGUGUUUAACUGCUGUGGUGAAGAGGACGUGAAGCAGAAAAGUUCUUUCUGGUUUAAGAACAGGUUUAAACUGUAAUAACACUAUACAAAGUUAAUCUGUUCGAUCCUGAUCAUAUGAUAAUCAAACACAUGUAUGCCAUUUUUACAUAGGAGUGUUAGUAAAUUGGGUUUAACACUUGAAAGAGACUAAUGAAGGUAAGCAUGAUAUUACAGACACAGUGCUGAUGUUGUGGUGGUGAUGGGUGGAUUUCGACUACCUUUCUAACGUCACUACUCUUUCUUUAGAUGCUUGUGUUUUUUAUACAGAGAUAUUAUUUGCAUAUCAUGUGCUUAAAGACUAUUUUAUACCUCCUAUAAUUUAUAUUUAUUUUUACAGCAGACUCUAGUGACAUGGGUGUGUCUGUUUCGUAGCUCAGAUCUCUGCAGAGUCUGAGGUAGACGAGAGGCUGAGUGAUUGAGGUCAGGACUAGGGCUGUUGGCCUGUUGUUUUAUUUUAUACUUUGCCUUUUGAAUUGCACAGGUUUCAGUGACCAUGGAGUGAACUGAUCUCCAGCUUUUUAACAGUAGUUUAAAAACAGAGGAUUCCUGAAUGGUGUGCCUCUUCUAGAGUUCUCCUCUCUGCCAUUUCAGCGUUGUAUUCUCACUGUAAAGUAUCGUAUGUGAGAUCUUUCAUUGUAUUAGUCACAACCCCAGGAAUCUGCUCUUAUAGUUCCUCCUACUGUGACAGAAAUUAAAUUAUUCAGAUAACAAUGCUUCUCCUGUAUGUCAUCAUUAAAUCUCCAUGUCCCCACAUGCUUCCCUCAGUCAGUACACAAUACUGUCCAAGCACAAUUCUGCACUAUGCAUUAAAGCAAUACAUAAUCUCCGGUCGUAGAAUGAUUUGAAAAAUAAUUACCGAAAUCUUUGAACUAUCUCUGUCACAGUGAACUAACCAGCAGGCUAACAGAGCAGUGUCCCCAACGUCCUCAAACACAGAUAAAGACUGUUAGGUUCAUGAAUGAGGUGAAAGACGUGGAUGUAAUGUGGACGUUUGUUGCAUAAUGAAGACCCUUCUCUUUGUCUUUACUCCCUCAUGAUGUCUGUACUGUAACUAAACUGUUCUCCUGGUGGCAGUGAAUCAGAUAAUCUACAAAGCCAGUGAAGUGUUGUGAUUACAGAUGAAAGCAUUUCUUCCUCAUCAGUGGUGGAUGAUUGACUCUUUCUGUUCUGUGUACAUCUGUCGGAUCUGUCUUUGUGCAGAUUUGCAGCCACCAAGUGAUAAAAUAAAUGUGGUCCAACAGAA